AAGUCCUUGCCCUAUUGCUUAGGUGGCAGGAGGCUUUAGGCGAAGGAUCCACACUUUCUGCAGCUCAGUUUCUUCACCUUUAAAGUGUUGUUACAAAGACGUGCGACAUCUUAUAUGUUUCACAUAAGGAACACACCUACCACAUCAUAGUGGCUCAGAAAUUGGUUAAGUGAUGGGAGAGAAGGGGAGAACUAUAUGCCAACUGGAGACUUUGAGACAAUGUUCUUGGUCCUUUAUUGUUGCCUGGUGGGAUGGGAUGGUUCACCAAACAUGUGCCAUGAUAGUAAUUUGCUGGACAUACUGUGCAUGAAUCUUCAACAUGAAUUAGCAAUUUUGAAAGAAUAUAAUUAUAAUAAAAUAUAUUCAACACCACAACUGUAAAGAACAUCAUUUUGGCCAGGUGUGGUGGCUCACGCCUGUAAUCCCAACCCUUUGAAAGGCAGAAGCGAGCAGAUCACUUCAGGUCAGCAGUUUGAGACCAGCCUGGCAUAUGGAGAAAUUGGCUUACUAAAAAUACAAAAAUUAGCUGGGUGUGGUGGUGAGUGCCUGUAAUCACAGCUACAUGGGAGGCUGAGACAGGGGAAUUGCUUGAACUUGGGAGGCAGUGGUUGCAGUGACCUGAGAUGGCACCACUGUACUUCAGUCUGGAUGACAGAGCAAGACUCCAUCUCAAAAAAAAAAAAAAAAAAAAGGCACUUUUUUUUUCUUUUGUUCGUUCAUAAAGUAUUUUACUAUCUUGUACAACCUUGUGGUCAAUGUAAUUGUAGGAGGUUUUCAUUGCACUACCAAAAAAUUUAGUUUAACAGAGGGUUCUGUUAAUAGGAUACCCAGAACAGAAGUUUGCUGUAUUCAACACCGUCUACCUUCACACGCCUUGCAAGUAUUGUUAACCAGCUUUAUGACCAAGAGGUUUCCAUAAGGCCAUAAUUACUUUGUCACACAACAUAUAAAAUGCACAUCUCGAGCUGAUGAAAAUAAGAAGUUUGAUCCACUCCAUAGCAAGCAUUUCUAAUUGCUAAAUUUUUCACACAUUUUUUAUUACUUGGUGUAUUACAGAUGUGAGAAAUGUCACCAUCUCUGGUUCUAUUAGGAGUGACAUAAAGUGAUGAAUGCUGACUCUGUGUGUGUACAUUUUAACCAGACACAAAGGGAUUUAAACAGUCAAAAUAGAUGUCCUUCAAAGGAGUAAUUUUAGAAACCAGUAUCGAUUCUAGAAAUACUGAAUUUAUUUCAAAUAUCACUGGACUUCCCCUCUGAAACGUUUAAAACCCAUGCAAGGAAAUCGUAUUGAUCUUUUACAAAUUACAUCUCAUUUUUGCAUAAAAACAGUGCUACCCAAAUAGCUCACACUUUAUACUGAUCAGUUUUGCUUUCAUGGACUUUUGGCUACUUCUCAAAAUUAAAUGCACCUUCACAGCACAAAAAUUUAUCAUCAUUGGACAUUGAAAAGAUUCUGAAAGCAGUUACAAAAGGGGAAUGUUUUUAAAAAGUUGUAAACAAAGGUAACAACAUUGAGAAUAUGUGUAUGGCCUCCCAGAGGACUGUUCUAAAGCAGUACUCUCGUUUGGGGGAUACGUCGGAUGGAUUUCUUUUUAUGAAGAGGUCAUCUCAAGUAUACCAUCUGUUGAGCCUUCCUUAUUUGUUAGACAAAAACAUUUUCAUCAUUUCAUCAUUUCCUCCAUUUUAGGAAGUAUGACAAGCAUUAGAGACUAGGAUAGAGUCUUGAGAACUUGAGAAAGCUACACAUUUGUAUCUCAAGUUAAGAAAAAAUAAAGAUAAGAAACAGAAAACAGGAAAAGACAAGCACCAAAAGCAAAGUAGGCCAAAGGACUUCCUAUGUUCAAAUAUUUCCUAGGUAUUGUUUCAAAUGUUCUUGUUGGUGACAAUUAUUAUUGGGCAUUUACCCUGAGCCAAUCACUGUGCUUGUUACUUGAUAUGGUCUAUCUCAUAUAAUCCUUCUAAUGAGAGCAUCUAAGGCAAACGUUCUUACCAGUCCUUUAUGGAUGAAGAGGUGGAGGAAUUUUUAUGUAAAUAGAUGGCCUAGACAGGAUUUAAACUCAAUGUUUCUCUGAUUCCAAAGCCAGUGCUCUCUCAAACCAUACCAAGAAGCUAACAGAAACCAGCACUUCAUGUAAUUUUUAAGAAGACAGCAAGUUCAGAUACAACUCAGACACUUCCACAGGGGAUUUGGACAAUCUGUUUGUCACUCUGAGCCUGUGUUAUAUGAUUUCUGCUGAUUCCAUCAGGUGCCUUUUUUUCUUUUUUUUUCUUUUUUUUUUUUUUUUUUUUUUUUUUUUGGUAAGCCUUGGCCCAUCUCUUAAGAGCUCAAAGAAUAUGCCUGGGAGCAAAGGAACCACCAGCUCAGUUAGGUUGAAACCAGUUAGCCAUUGUAGUACUACUUAGUGCUGUCUUGGUUAAUUGAUUAACUUCCCCUUUAAAAUGUGUGUGUAUUUUCUACAUAGGUUUUUGGUUCACAUUUGUUUUUCCCAGGACCUUAAUACUUUCUAUGCUAUGAUGGUCACCAUUAGAAAGUAAUUGCAUGCCUGAUGAUGGAAAUAAUCAACAAAGAUGACCACUGAUGUGUCUCUACAUGUCAUGAUUGCCUUAGGGUUUCAAUUCCUGUAUUUUUUUCCCCUCUCAUCCCAUGCAUCCCUUCCCAUGCUUCCUUUGUGAAUUAAGAUAAAAGGAACAAGAAACCAGGAAGUCUUCCUUCCACCUGACUUCUGACUACACAUAACCACACAAACAGCCUAUUUUGAUCAGUUUCCUCCAGUCUCCAUCAUAGGUGUUUGAUCUAUAGUUUAGAUACCAAGUCCUCGAUAGUAGAACUCAUGUAUAGCUAAGCGCUACACAUAGCUCUUGAUGCAAUGCAAGGACUUCCAACUGACCAAGUGUAACCAUGACACACUGGUCAGAAGCAAGUCAGACUCAGGUUCCAGCUCCUAGUCCUAACAUUGUGAUGAUGUGGCUAUUACUGGACAUGUGCAUAAACAUAUUGUUGGAGGUGCUGGGAAUAUUGGAAUUAGAAUGUACCUACAUGACCUCAGCUUUGGGUGGUAUUAAAGCUUUUUGCUUUUUGUGAUAAACAAUAGGAGGCUGCUUAUUUCCUCUAAGAGACUUUUUUGAGGUUUUUCUGACAGUAAGGUGGCACGGGCAGGGAACUUCCUUCCAAAGCCACUUCUCAGCCUCUGUUCUAUGAGUUUUCUUCCUCUUCAUUCCUGUCUUCUGCCUCCGUUCCUUCUGGCUGUCCCUCCUCUAGCUCUGCUUCUAAUUGCCUGAGGAGGCACUGCAGGGUCUAUCCUGUGGGAAUCCAGUUUGCAAUGACUCUUUUGGUCUAUGAAACACCUAUUAUCGGUUCCUCAGAUUUGAAUACCUAGACAGAUGUAUGUGCUCCCUUAAGGGACAAGUACUGUGGCAUGCGGAGUGUGGUACACCAAGCCUAAUCUUCUGUUCUGUGGAUGUUGGUGCUCAGUUGCUAGUCUUGGUUGACUGGACAAUUCCCACGUAGCUUUUGCUUAAUGUCUGAAUCAUUGGAAGGAGAAGGACUUUGGUCUGUCUUUCUCCUUUUGUAACUUCCUCUUUUUGCACUUUAUGUGAGAUUACGAGUGAGUGUGAUUUCAGAUGAGAAACACUUAACAGUGAGUCAGGGAGAUGAAAUUUCACUGAGAUGCGGAACACAGGAAGAGAAAAUGUGUGAAAAAUCACGUUGACGGGGUUGUCUUGGUAGCUAGUAAAGCAGAGAAAGGAAAUUCCCGCACAGCAGGCUUUAAUAAAAUUGGCAGGCAGGAAUGUCACACUGUGUGAGAAUAUUGGUGAGGAAUCUAGGGAUGGAGAGCAAGUAAAGGAAUCAUAAGGGCCUUCUUAUAUUGGACAUUCUUUCUCUGCACCUAAUUUACUCUAAACGAGUUUGCAGAUGAGAAUUGUUUUCCCAUGAAUUUGCAUCAGUAGAUUUAAGAGCAUGGAUGCGCACACCCCAACACAAGGUGUCAACCAAAUAUUAGGCAAUGUUAUGGCUUAUUAACGAUUUUCAAUCCAAGGAUAGUUAAUGAAGAGUGGACAUUUAUGUCUGUGUAUAAAAAGCAGUAUAUGGAAACUCAAAUUCCCAGUGGAAAUAAAACAAGACAUCGUCAUUAUUUAACAAAAGAAUUCACCGUGUAAUUCUAUAUAAGACAAACGCACUCACACAUUCUUUAAGGACUUUAAAAAUAUCCUUUGAUUUCCAUGCAACUUUUCUGGACUUUUUAUAUCUACCACAUAAAGCAAGCCUGUUACCGAGAUAAAUGUGGAAGUUCUAUGUCCUUAUUGCCUGGGUCACUUUACCAAUGAUCCACCACUUACUUAUUCGUUUUAUUAAAUAUAUUCUGUCUUAAAUCUAUUGAUGCAAAUUCAUGGGAAAACACUUCUUAUCUGGAAACUCAUUUAGAGUAAAUUCGGUGCAGAGAAAGCAUGCCCAGCAUCAGAAGGCCCUUAUGAUCCCUUUACUUACUCUCCAUCGCUAGAUUCCUCACCAAUAUUCUCACACAGUCCGAUAUCCCUGCCUGCCAAUUUCAUUAAAACCUGCUGUGCAGGAAACCUACCAGUGUGUAAGAUUCUUGAGAAUAGACCAUUGUCUGUUUUGUUCAUGUACGUAUCACAAAUGUUUAGAACACUUGUGGCACAUAGUAGGUGCUUCAUAAAUAUUUACUGAAUAAAUGAAUGAAUGAUCUUGGGAGGUCAGGGAAUGUUCGCCUCACUUGAUGAGUAAACCACCCAAGCCAAAGGCGGCAGCUAACCCAGAACUCCUCCACUUAACCCCCUUUAUGUCAAUGGCUCUCUUUGGAGUCACUGCCAGGUUUUGUGUGUAAGGAGGCAUAAUGCUCCCAGGGCAGGCUGCUGGGGACCAAGCCCUGGGACACACAGAGCAUCCUGAAAUGCCAGAGACCGGCAGAGUCACACUGGGAAUUACUUGUCUUCAAUACAUAAAAUAUUGGUGGGGAUGGCAACUUUAACAUUUGCCUUUUAGAAAAUUCUGUUGAAGGCCCUCCCCAAGUUGAAGUUGGUGGCCUGGGAGAUAGUCAUCAGCUUCCAGAGAGAGGACCCAGCAACUUUUUCCUCCACCAAGUGUUUUUUAAUUAGUAGUUGGCUCAGAAAAGGCAAAGCAGCUACUUCUGCUGGAGAUCCAAGGCUGAAAUAAAUACUGCUGUUAGAAGUGGAAGGUCACUUUACAAUGGUGUUGUCUAUCACUCUGAGCUUCCUGCACCUCCAGGGGAGGCCAUGAGCUUAGGCACAAAGUGUGGAUAAACGCCUAUUUUAGCUGAUGAUAUAGAUUAAGAGAGUGGAAGAAAAGAGCCUACACCCUGUGCCCCCUUUUGCACUUAGUUGUGGUGGAGAGGACGGGGAGGUGGUCAGCUCCUGCUGUUCUCAGUGGGCGCCCUCCGAGAGCAGUCCUUGUAUUACCCACUUCACUGUUUUGUCCCCAUCUCAUUAUCUGUUCUUGUUAAAAUCUUUAUUAUUCAUGGAUGCAAAAAAUCCCAUCAUUAAACCAUCAUAAAUAUUCAUAACACUUUGCAAUUGUGUGCAUUUCAUUUAGCCACUUGGCAAAACUUCUCUGAAGUACCAGAGUUUUAAGGAAAUCUGGCUAAUGAGACCAGAGCCCAGGAAAUGCAGGAUAGCCUUUCCACUUUAUUUUACUUUAACCUGAAAACAAAUGCAAAAUAUAAAUAAUAAUUAAAAGAGAAAAACAGGGAAGGCAUUUAGUGGCAAAGAAGAGCCACACAUUCCUUGGCUUUGUCUUGAUUGUGCUUUUGUGUCAAGCAGAAGAUAAGGGUAAACACUGUGCUACAAGAGG
rnacentral:lncRNA from 1 species